rnacentral:rRNA from 1 species
CCUACGGGAGGCAGCAGUGGGGAAUAUUGGACAAUGGGCGAAAGCCUGAUCCAGCAAUGCCGCGUGAGUGAUGAAGGCCUUCGGGUCGUAAAGCUCUUUUACCAGGGAUGAUAAUGACAGUACCUGGAGAAUAAGCUCCGGCUAACUCCGUGCCAGCAGCCGCGGUAAUACGGAGGGAGCUAGCGUUGUUCGGAAUUACUGGGCGUAAAGAGUACGUAGGCGGUUAUUCAAGUCAGAGGUGAAAGCCCGGGGCUCAACCCCGGAACUGCCUUUGAAACUAGAUAACUAGAGUCUUGGAGAGGUUAGUGGAAUUCCGAGUGUAGAGGUGAAAUUCGUAGAUAUUCGGAAGAACACCAGUGGCGAAGGCGACUAACUGGACAAGUACUGACGCUGAGGUACGAAAGCGUGGGGAGCAAACAGGAUUAGAUACCCUGGUAGUCCACGCCGUAAACGAUGAUAACUAGUUGUUCGGUCACUUGGUGACUGAGUGACGCAGCUAACGCAUUAAGUUAUCCGCCUGGGGAGUACGGUCGCAAGAUUAAAACUCAAAGGAAUUGACGGNUGAAGACGUGCGAGAGACGACGAGGAGAGG